rnacentral:rRNA from 1 species
ACGCUCGACACCUACGGGAGGUAGCAGUGGGGGAUAUUGCACAAUGGGGGAAACCCUGAUGCAGCAACGCCGCGUGAGGGAAGACGGUUUUCGGAUUGUAAACCUCUGUCAUCGGUGACGAUAAUGACGGUAGCCGAUGAGGAAGCUCCGGCUAACUACGUGCCAGCAGCCCGGUAAUCUGAGCGGGCUGGCAAGGC